rnacentral:sRNA from 1 species
AUGGAACCUGCCAACAGAUACGGAUAAUGGUACCUGCCAAACAUCAUAUGCUGGAUUGAGAAUAAACAUUGGGGUGGUGAUGCCUUUCGCCACUUCUUGUGGGAAAAAGCACUACAAGGCACGAUUAAGGAUUGCUACUUAGCACAUAACAGCUUGAAAAGUACUGAAUAAAAAAGGUGAUGAUAUUAAUACAAGAAACAGUAUCAUAAAAACAACUAAAGGAUUACCUGCCCUGGUUCCAUAUCUGAACUACAACCAGGGAACCGUUUCCGCAAAUCCUGCAACAAAUCAACAGCAAACAUAAGAAUCAUACAAUUAAAAAAAAACAAAAAAAGGGUAUACGCAGAGAAAAGUGCAGACAGCGACCUGUUGACGAGCAACAUCAUUAUAGAAGCCCCGCAUAUACCUUCUCCCAGAAAUGUCUUCCCUGUAAUGAGAA